AGGCAGCCCCUUUGUCCCAGUUAGAAGUGAUAUUGGAGGUGUUGUUUUGCUCGGAGAAUAAAAAUCAAAAGCUUUUGCUCUUCAGAUUAGCUGAGAGAAAAAUUGCUUUCUCUUUGAAGCUGGUCUAGUAGUCCUAAGCACAUU
rfam:Ananas comosus cultivar MD2 ACMD2_Scaffold_7631, whole genome shotgun sequence.